GUAGGGUGCGAGCGUUAAUCGGAAUUACUGGGCGUAAAGCGUGCGCAGGCGGUUUUGUAAGACAGAUGUGAAAUCCCCGGGCUUAACCUGGGAACUGCGUUUGUGACUGCAAGGCUAGAGUACGGCAGAGGGGGGUGGAAUUCCUGGUGUAGCAGUGAAAUGCGUAGAGAUCAGGAGGAACACCGAUGGCGAAGGCAGCCCCCUGGGCCUGUACUGACGCUCAUGCACGAAAGCGUGGGGAGCAAAC
rnacentral:rRNA from 1 species